rnacentral:rRNA from 1 species
CAAGUCGAACGGUAACAGGUUAAGCUGACGAGUGGCGAACGGGUGAGUAAUGUAUCGGAACGUGCCCAGUAGUGGGGAUAGCCCGGCGAAAGCCGGAUUAAUACCGCAUACGACCUACGGGUGAAAGCGGGGGAUCGCAAGACCUCGCGCUAUUGGAGCGGCCGAUAUCAGAUUAGGUAGUUGGUGAGGUAAAGGCUCACCAAGCCGACGAUCUGUAGCUGGUCUGAGAGGACGACCAGCCACACUGGGACUGAGACACGGCCCAGACUCCUACGGGAGGCAGCAGUGGGGAAUUUUGGACAAUGGACGCAAGUCUGAUCCAGCCAUGCCGCGUGCGGGAAGAAGGCCUUCGGGUUGUAAACCGCUUUUGUCAGGGAAGAAAAGUCUGGAGCUAAUAUCUCCGGACGAUGACGG